rnacentral:lncRNA from 1 species
UAAAAUUAUAUAUAACUAAUAACAACAAAUAUCGAAUUACACAAUCAAUUAGCACCAAUGUACGUUACAAUCAUCUCCAAUGUCUCGCACCAAGUUUCAACUAUCAAUAUAACAAAAGAAAGUCUAAUAUCAAGUUUCUAGGAAGACAAAAUGUAAUAUCAACUUUCAAAAUCAAAUGUUCUUGAAGCCUCAAUUUUUCAAUAACUAAAUAUGGUCUUCUUUCCUCUUUGCAUCCAAGUUAGCUUUGAUCAUAUUACCUGCAAAACAAAAUCUAUGUUGUAAGGAUCAACAAAUCUAAACUUAUUGACCUUGUCCAUUGAUGGAAGUAAAAUCUUGGACACAUGAGUUGAUUUAUGCAAAUAAACAUAUGUGGAAAAUAAAGCAUUCAAGUAAUUGAUCAGAGAGAAUUAAAUGCAAAGAAACUCAUUCAAGUCGAGAAUAUUUAACAAGAAUAAAAGUUUGAAUGAUAAUUUUCAAGCUCAAGAACCACUGUAUCAUUUCUUAUCCACAUUUGUGAUGGGAGGGGCCAAGCUGUUUGAUAGCAUUAGCCCCACACACACAAACACGCAAUACAUAAUAUACACACACGAAUUAUUGAAAUACUUUAUAGAAAUAUAGCUGGUUUAGCUCUCUUGAUUAGAGUUGGCAAAUAAGAAUAGCUUUCAACUUUUCAACUAGGACAAUUAAAUACAAAGUUGAUGCUAUAAGUAUUAGUACUACUUGUUAUGUUCAUAUUCACGCAGUCAAGUAAAGCUAGAGUUUUCUCUUUAGGGUCUGCUAUGUCACUUUCCUGGAAUUAAAUUCAAGAACAGCAAAGCAACCGAGAACGUGUGUGUGUAGCAUCUAGUUCAGCUCUAGCAUCACUUAUUUCCACCAAUUGAAUUCAGGCCAACCAUUAUAGAGUGUGAACUGUCUUCCAUUCUAGUCCACAUUCAACCAUUUUUAGUUCAUGUUUGAUGAAGAUAAUUGACCAGAAUACACCAAAUUAAUUUCCCACGAGGUAACAAAACUUCAACCGGAUAGUAUCCAAGAAUAUUUUCCACUGAGGCAUCAGUAGAUGAAUAACUUCUCCAAAACUUGUUCACGCACUAAUUAUACCACAAUACCCUGCAAUGUUUCAGUCUUCCUCCUCUCAUUGUUUCAGUCUUAUUCAGAGUCUCAGACUUCUUAACUUCAACAUUUUAGCAUCCAAAACAUUCUCAAAAUUGCAGAAUUAACCGAGUUACAACCUUAAUGAGGAGGCAUAAGUCGCAUACAUCUAGGCCAGCCUCUCUAAUUGAAGCACAUCCCGGAAAACUCUCUCUUUCUCUCUCGCACACACAAAACAAACAGGACUCUAUUCGGUAACAUUUUACCUCAAAAUCGAAAAAAUUAAAGAUGAACAUCCAAAGAGAAACCGGAAAUCUGAAAAAUAAACCUGCCAAUUGCGAGGAGCCCAUUUCCACAAUACAAGCAGCAACUUACCCAUUAAUGGAUACCUUUAAUUACGAAUUCUAGUCAGAGUCUUAAGCAUAAUAUUCAUAAAACUAAGCACAGCAAUAUCACGCACAGAGAAAGAGAAAGAAAAUUGAAAUUACUCAGCAGGGGAAGACAUGAUGAAUCUAGAAAACGAGUUCGAUCGAAAUCAAGCUAAACAUAAAACUAACCUCAAGGAGCAGCGGCUAAGUCGAGAACAGACCGGAAGAGCAGUGCACGUGCUGCCCUCCGAUUGAAGCAGCUAAUUCUGCUCCUGCCUCGUCUGGUGUACAGCAAGGUAAACCAGAGCAGCGUGGCAGCGACCGGAGAAAGCUUGACAGCAGCGUCGUUUCUGGAGUACAGCAGCAGCUCUAAGCAGCGGCGAAGUAUGGCGCUAAGGGGAUCAGAAAAACACUCAGAGUAGCGUCGUUUUUCGUUGCUUGCUGACCGGCGGAGAUUGUGGCGGCGGCGGCGGCGAGGAAACCUACGAUUUUAUGAUUGGAGAGAGGCGACAGAGGACGUGGUUUGUGGCUGCGUUGACUGUUGAUACGGCGGCAGCGCAAGGAACGAGUGGCGUUGGUCGGGGUGAGUCGGCGCCGGAGAGAUCGUAGGCGGCAGAUUUGGGAAGAAGAAGAUAGGUGGCAGAUUUGGGAAGAAGGUGGUAGGCGCGCGCACAUUUGGGGUUAAUUAGGGCUAAUGUGUUUGAACUCAAACUGACUUCUCUUCUUUUCAUUUUUUUUUNUAAUUCUGAAUAAGCCUUUAAAACCGGUUUAAAAACGGUUUAAUAUGUUUAAUUAAAAGGGCAAUGAUAAAUGGAC